CCCUGUAUUCAGAAGUGAUCACACUGCACAUGUCUUGUUCAUUGGUAAUACAGACAGGGGACAUGUGGAAAGGGUUGUCCCAUGUUUGGGGGGUCCACGCCCUCCCCUUCCAGUUCUGGGAGUUUUCCCAGU
rfam:Pteropus alecto contig98286, whole genome shotgun sequence.